ensembl:lncRNA
CUGAGAUAUGACUCUAUAGGUGUGUAGUAAUGUUCUCAGUGUGUGAACAUUCCACUCCCUGCCCUGAGCUGCGCUCCACACUUCCUCAGGAAACAGCCUUCACUUCCUGUACAAUUACCCGAGCGAAGGCUGUGUGGCGUGAUAGCUACUGCGAAUCCUCCUCUGCGUCUCGCUACUUCACACAUUCACACCGUUUCUCACACUCUUUCUGGUCAGUGUAGUGGUCAGCCAUGUGGACGAUACGAUGUUCCCAUCUCCUCCUCCACCUCCUCCUGAGCUUCACCUGUACACGAGCUGAAUCAGAGGUAAUUCUCAAAGGUGUCACACUUAACAUCAACCUGCGAACACGGUGGAGCGGGGAUCUGAGCUGACACUGACCUGUGUCGCCAAUGUCAUCCAUUCUGGCAGCAUUUCAACAUUCGUUUUCAGCUUCUUAUAAAGACUUCAACCAGCACAACACCGUAAACAUUUCAGAGACAACCAGUGACCAAGUGAAGUACAUCAUCUCUGAUGCUCGGGCCUCCCACACGGGCACGUACCAGUGUGAUGUGAGGGUGAACAACCCACAACAAGGACAGUUCCACAGAGAAGAUUACUGUUAAAGGUCUUGGCAGAGAGAAAGAAGUUGUCUUUAAAGGUGAGAUAAGUAAAAUAUUUAUACUGCUGGGACCACAGGGUCCGGGGUUUGAGUCCGGCCAGGGCCAUGUGUGUGCGGAGUUUGCAUGUUCUCCCCGUGCCACGGGGGUUUCCUCCGGGUACUCUGGUUUCCUCCCCCAGUCCAAAGACAUGCAUAGUAGGCUGAUUGGCAUGUCCAAAGUAUCCAUAGUGUAUGAAUGGGUGUGUGAGUGUGUAUGUGUUUGUGUGCCCUGCGAUGGAUUGG